UGGUGAACUCAGCGCGGUGUCAACGUUCCAUGGCGGGGUCGAGAUUUAAAUCCCCGGGGGCUUAACGACGAAACUGCCCUUGUUUAAAAUGUUCGGUAAAAUGAAGAGACACCGGGACGAUCGCGUUCAAUGACAGGAGGAGCUCGGAAACUCACGGAGAAAGGACAAUGCCCUCCUGUAAGCUGUGUGGAAAAGACUCCGGGAGAAAGUCGUCUUUUAAACCUCACCAAGAAGAGUAGAUCUACGAACCAGUAAGACUCAUUUUUCUUAUUACUCUUUAUGGAUGGCCGCCGCGCCGCUUUCUCACAAACACGCACACAUGCACGCACACUGAUCAUUACAUCCUCCCUCUCUUUGUCUUUGACUGUGCAUUGAAGUUGAAUUGUCCAUGACCGCCGUGUCAUGACUGCAGCUUGAAAUGUUUUAUGUGCUUUAUGUGUCUUUGCUUGACUGCUUUUUUUUUGUUUGUUUUUUUUUGUUUUUUUUUAAACAUCCGUUUAACCGACAUAGCCUUAGUUUGCGUAUCCAAUUUGACCCUGGCCACCCAUUAUUUCGUCUUUGUCCAAAAUGGCCACCCAUCCCUUUGUCUCUUGUUUGUCUUUUCUAUUUCUCUCUUUUUCUUCACUGUUGAAGAAUAGAUAGUUGACCUCUUAAUUGUGUCGGGAGGGCACC